UUAUGCUCUCAUGUUCUUUGUGCAUGUUUAUGCAAUACAAUUUUGUUAAAAAGUCUUCUCUUAUGCUUGUUGUAGGUAGAGACUUUAAAAUAUGUUAUAUCCCUCGUCGCAUUGGCAAGAACAUGGAGAACCGAAGGCGUUACCGACGACAAUAGGUCGUACUUUUUAUAUAAAUAAACCUUAGAAUCUUGGAUUUUUACUUAUUAGGAGGAAAAAUUGUUGUUAACUUUGUCACCCUGAAUGAUAACUUCUUUUCCCUUGUUGGUUGUGUAUGGAUUGGAAAGUGAGUUUAAGUAAUUUGAUGUUGAUUGUGCCCUUAAUGCUACUGUAAACACGUGCUGGUAUACAAGAAGUACAUUUUCUUUCGUUCAAUCCUACCGAUAAGCGGACAAAAAUUACUUAUACUGAUCAAGUGGGUAAAAUGCAUAGAGUAAGCCAAGGUGCACCAGAACAGCAUAAUACCAAAUACUACUACAAAAUUAGAAGUGGUGAUUCUUGAGAAUUUUUGUUUGAAGCACCUCCCGAAGUUGAACCAGAUGCCCCUUACAAAUUUGGGAUCAUUGUUGAUGAAGGAAGAUGAGAAAGACAUGAAUGCUGUCAAGAAUGUUGUUCCUUGGAGAUUGAGGAUCUUGUUCCUGUUCGGAAUGCAAAGAAGCAUAUUUGGGGGCAUGGAUUAGACGUGUACAGGCAGGCGUGCUCUACAGAAUAAUACUGAAGAAAAGGUUUCACAGUUCCCAAAUCAUUGCGCAUGACUGGCACAGCAGCAACAGAAAUCACUGAAUUUGAAAGCAUUUACAAGCUUAAAGUUACAAUCGUGCCUACAAACAAACCUAUGAUAAGAAAGGAUGAAUUUGAUUUAGUUUUUAGGGCUACUACAGGGAAAUGGCGUGCAGUUGUGGCGGAAAUCUCUAGAAUGAACAUAACUAGUCGUGGGACGGAUAUAAUCCUUGGCGGAAAUGUUGAGUUUAUGGCACGUCUGAAGCUUCGUGAGAUACUGAUGCCAAGGUAUGGUGGAGCUUUAAUUGGUAUACAUUUUCACCCAUUUUUAUUGUUUCCUCAGGCCUACAAUAAUAGACUUGCAGGAUUUUGGACUUCUAUUGGAGUGGUCCAACAAUAUUCAACUGUGAUACAUGUAAACAAAUAUUUCAAGUAUCUAACUCAUUAAGCCCCCCAUCAAGUACUUUUGCAUCCUCUGACAUUAUUAGUUUGCGAUGAUGAACAGUAUGCAUAGGAUUUUAAUUUUGUUAUAGGUUCAAUGAAAUGCCAGAGUUUUGCUAGUUUCAUUGGUGUCACAGUUUGUCAGUUAGUUCUAAUAAGCUUGGACAAUUGGAGCGCAACAAAAAAAGAGGUUGUGGGAGUUUAUAAACAAAACAUUUGGAAUGCAUGCAUCUAUAAAUUUGGCUAUGCAAAUGUCCUCUAUAUAUGUUAUGAU